AGAGUUUGAUUCUGGCUCAGGACGAACGCUGGCGGCGCGCCUAACACAUGCAAGUCGAACGGAGCUUAAAGAGCUUGCUUUUUAAGCUUAGUGGCGAACGGGUGAGUAACGCGUGAGUAACCUGCCCUAGAGUGGGGGACAACAGUUGGAAACGACUGCUAAUACCGCAUAAGCCCACGGUACCGCAUGAUACUGAGGGAAAAGGAUUUAUUCGCUUUAGGAUGGACUCGCGUCCAAUUAGCUGGUUGGUGAGGUAACGGCCCACCAAGGCGACGAUUGGUAGCCGGACUGAGAGGUUGAACGGCCACAUUGGGACUGAGACACGGCCCAG
rnacentral:rRNA from 1 species